rnacentral:rRNA from 1 species
AGAACGAACGCUGGCGGCAUGCCUAAUACAUGCAAGUCGAACGAACACUUCGGUGUUAGUGGCGCACGGGUGCGUAACGCGUGGGAAUCUGCCCUUGGGUUCGGAAUAACAGUUGGAAACGACUGCUAAUACCGGAUGAUAUCGAAAGAUCAAAGAUUUAUCGCCCAGGGAUGAGCCCGCGUAGGAUUAGCUAGUUGGUGAGGUAAAGGCUCACCAAGGCGACGAUCCUUAGCUGGUCUGAGAGGAUGAUCAGCCACACUGGGACUGAGACACGGCCCAGACCUCCGUACGGGAGGCAGCAAGGUAGGAAUAGUUGGAACAAGUGGGCGCAAGCCUGAUCCAGCAAGUGCCGCGUGAGUAGAUGAAGGUCCUUAGGGUUGUAAAGCCUU